GACACGAGAUUCUGCCCUGGACCUGAAAUGGCCACCAGGCUCUUCUUCUGUGUGGUCCUUUGUCUCCUGUGGGCAGGACACAUGGAUGCCGGAAUCACCCAGAGCCCAAGAUACAAGGUCACAGGGACAGGAAAGGAGGUGACUCUGAGAUGUCUCCAGACUGAGAACCAUAGCUACAUGUACUGGUAUCGACAAGACCCGGGCCAUGGGCUGAGGCUGAUCUAUUACUCAGUUGGUACUAGUAUCAACAAAGGAGAUGUCCCCAACGGGUACAGUGUCUCCAGAUCAAACACAGAGAACUUCCUCCUCACGCUGGAGUCAGCUACCCUCUCCCAGACAUCUGUGUACUUCUGUGCCAGCAGUGACUCCACAGCGCUGCACAGCCCCCUCCUCUCUGCACAAAAAGGCAUGGGGAGACCCUGCACCCCAGACUCAGCGGAGCCUGUGCAGCCUCAACUCCCACCCUGGGAGCCUUGGAGCCCUGAGUGGCCUGUGCAUACAGGGUGAACCUCGGUGUGUGCCGAGGUCCAUCUUCAGGGCAGUGUCUGCCAGGCCUGCACUGGUUCCAGGGCCUCGGGCAGCCACGUCUCCACCGAUGCUGCCUGUCUGUCCUCUGCAGCUGCCAGUUAGCAGGGAAGGGGCUUCCCC